CACGUAGGGGGCGAGCGUUGUCCGGAUUCAUUGGGCGUAAAGGGCGCGCAGGCGGCCCGGAAAGUCGGAUGUGAAAACUCGAGGCUCAACCUCGAGCGUGCACCCGAUACUGCCGGGCUUGAGGCAGGUAGGGGAGAUCGGAAUUCCUGGUGUAGCGGUGAAAUGCGCAGAUAUCAGGAGGAACACCGGUGGCGAAGGCGGUUCUCUGGGCCUUACCUGACGCUGAGGAGCGAAAGCGUGGGGAGCGAACAGG
rnacentral:rRNA from 1 species